AGUCAUACCUGGCAGGGGAGAUACCAUGAUCAUCAAAGUGGUUUCCCCAGGGUGAGGCUCAUCUAUUGCACUUUGGAUGUACUGACCCCUGUGAUUUCCCUAAAUCAACUGCCUAAGUGGGGGGGACUGUGUUUGUGGUUUCCCCUG
rnacentral:snRNA from 1 species